rnacentral:rRNA from 1 species
ACAAGCGGUGGAGCAUGUGGUUUUAAUUCGAUGAUACCGCGACGGUAACCUUACCUGGGCUCAAAUGUAUGUUGACGUAUUCUGAAAGGGAUACUUCUUCGGACAAUAUACAAGGUGCUGCAUGGUUGUCGUCAGCUCGUGCCGUGAGGUGUCGGGUUAAGUCCCAUAACGAGCGCAACCCUUGUCCUUAGUUACCAGCACGUUAUGGUGGGCACUCUAAGGAGACUGCCGGUGACAAACCGGAGGAAGGUGGGGAUGACGUCAAGUCAUCAUGGCCCUUACGGCCUGGGCUACACACGUGCUACAAUGGUCGGUACAAAGGGUUGCCAAGCCGCGAGGUGGAGCUAAUCCCAUAAAACCGAUCGUAGUCCGGAUCGCAGUCUGCAACUCGACUGCGUGAAGUCGGAAUCGCUAGUAAUCGUGAAAUCAGAAUGUCACGGUGAAUACGUUCCCGGGCCUU